rnacentral:rRNA from 1 species
AUUGAACGCUGGCGGCAGGCCUAACACAUGCAAGUCGAGCGGAGCGGCGGACGGGUGAGUAAUGCCUAGGAAUCUGCCUGGUAGUGGGGGAUAACGUCCGGAAACGGGCGCUAAUACCGCAUACUAUCAGAUGAGCCUAGGUCGGAUUAGCUAGUUGGUGGGGUAAAGGCCUACCAAGGCGACGAUCCGUAACUGGUCUGAGAGGAUGAUCAGUCACACUGGAACUGAGACACGGUCCAGACUCCUACGGGAGGCAGCAGGUGGGAAUAUUGGACAAUGGGGGAAAGCCUGAUCCAGCCAUGCCGCGUGUGUGAAGAAGGGCUUCGGGUUGUAAAGCACUUUAAGUUGGGAGGCGGUACCUACAGAAUAAGCACCGGCUAACUUCGUGCCAGCAGCCGCGGUAAUUC